GGCUGGUGUGGGACAUAAAUAAUGGGGUAAAUCUGAGCUUAUGUCCAGUUACUCAUUUGGGCAAGAUGAGUAACUAGCCAAAUGCCGUUGGAGAAAUGACAAAAAAACUGCCUCGGAUUUCUUCUUCUGGACCCCAGGCUCCACCUACCUACUCUAAUCCUUCCUCCUCCCGACCCCGGGCUCCACCUACCCACUCUAUUCCUUCCUCCUCCAGACUCUGGGCUCCUCCUAUCUACUAUAUUCCUUCCUCCUCUCAUUGUCCAAAGCCGUUUCCUCUCGUGUGUAACUCUUUUCGUCCACAGAACACUCCCCAGUGUCAGCCACCUCUCUCAACUCAUAAGAGGAUCUCUUUUCCUCCUGUUCAUAGUACUGUCCCUCCUUGCCGCCCUAACCUACAGGUUUCCCCACCCAAAUCUUGCUCUUCCAAAACGUCCAGCCCCCGCUCUUUUUUUCUCGAUCCUGUUCCCCGUUACUCCAGUUUCUUCUUUGCUCCUACUCCCCCUCCCAGCCCUUCGUAGACUUUAAAGUCUUAUCCUCCCCACAUUCCAGCCGACUCCAACCAGACCUCCGUGAUUCACAAUUCCUAUUCUGUGGAGAGAUGAUUUCCCUGUGAGUCGGAUGGUUCUGAUAUCAUCCAGAAUUGCCAGAACAAUCGAUCCCCAGGAGCUUGACUUGGUGAAUGUUGGGAACUCAAGACAAUGCCAAUCAACAUUUAGCUUGGAGGGCGGCCUGAAUGAAUUCUACAUUUAUAACUGGUUUCUCCAUGGAAUUUGGUCUGUGACCACAGAGCAAACAGCAAGACCAGGGACACAAGGUAGAGAAGAAUGAGUGGAAAUCAUGUCAUCUGAUCUCUACAUGGGAAACGUGAGAAGCUGAUGAUACUUUGCAAUGACAGGCAAAAGAGCCAAGAAUACCCAUGACUCCUUUAAGAACUGCUUCUCUACGAUGGACGUGUCAGAGCGCUUGCUGUUGCUUCUCCGUGGAACCACGUCAACAACGUCAAUUCUUUCAUCCUGUGAACCUGUGCUGAGCCCCUGGGGUGUGCUGGCCCUGGCCCCUCGGACUUUGAACCCAGGUCGCCCUCCCUCCCUGGAGCGUCCUUCUGAUGCCCACGAUCUCCUCUCUGCAUCCCCCCGAACGUGAUGACCGCAGGCUGAACCACAUCAGGGUGCACAGCGAUAUCGCGCUCCACAACGCUAAAGGGUGGCGCUUGGGAGAAGAUGAUCGCCACACGGAGUGUUCAGCGCCCACCUCAGCCUCUUCCUGAAACCCAGCCUGUGUGCUGCGUGGAUGAAUAAAGAGGACUUUCAAGCGUCA